UACAGAGGGUGCGAGCGUUGUCCGGAAUCACUGGGCGUAAAGGGCGCGUAGGCGGCUUGAUAAGCGUGCGGUGAAAGCCCGGGGCCUCAACCCCGGGUCGGCCGUGCGAACUGUCGAGCUGGAGCACUGUAGAGGCAGGUGGAAUUCCGGGUGUAGCGGUGGAAUGCGUAGAGAUCCGGAAGAACACCGGGUGGCGAAGGCGGCCUGCUGGGCAGUGGCUGACGCUGAGGCGCGACAGCGUGGGGAGCAAACAGG
rnacentral:rRNA from 1 species